rnacentral:rRNA from 1 species
UGCGAGCAGAGAGGAGGAGGAAAGGGGGUUUAGAUGGUUUGGAAUAGACGAGAAGAAAGGGAUUUAGCUGGUCAGGAGACAAGAGGAGGAAAGGGGUUCAGUUGGUCCAGAAAGUGAGCGAAGAGUGAUGACGGUUGGUAACCGGCGGACGGAACGGUUGAGAGCGGCGGGGAGGUCCGGCGGUGUUGCCCACGCCCCACAGACGAUCAAAGACGACGAAGAAGAGGAAGAGAGUGAUGGAAGAGGCGAGCACGACGGACGACGGCACGACUUCUGGUGACGACGGCGGCGGCUGACUAUUUGAUUAGCCACUUGACGACAACUUCCCGGCUUACUCGUUCUGACGACGUUCUCCUUCCAUUGUCACCAAUUUGUUGUUUGGUACCAGGUCCUCUCGUAUAGACAUCAAUAACCAGUAUACAUCCGUAGAAAACCAGCCAGGUCACACAAGAUAUCAACACCGAUACCUGUUGAAAACCGGUCAGGCCACAUAAGAUGUCAACUCCGUCACCUCGUGAAAACCGGUCAGACCACAUAAGAUGUCAACACCGUUACCUCAUCAGUAACAGGUAUUAUGGUCCAAAAGUUCGUUCCCGACUCUAUCUAUAUGUUUAGUCUUCUUAACAGGGAAAACUUAAUGAAAUGUACAAGUGACGGUCAAAGUUUACUGUUUUCCUCGUUCGUUUACAUUUUCUUUUCCAUGUGCGAACUUGUCUAGACAUUUCGAAUUAUGAACAUAGUAAGCGAAUAAGUGUGUUGAUAAACUAGAUCCUACGAAACAACCUUUUUUUGGUACUAUGUGUUCUAGUAAACUAAACCAACGGAUUUUUCCCGUGACCGAAACAUUAUUCGUAAUGACGUAAACAUAUGUUUAUCUUUGUAGUACUAUGUAUUUCUAUCCGGUCCCUGUAUACACAAUGGAACGUUUCGUGGUGUUGAAACCGGUAGUCAAACGUGGUAGAGAGGAUCAAAAGGACACAAUUCUCCUUGUAUUUUAAUUUUAUAUAGCACAAAAAAGCGAUGGUGGUGGCUUGGGGUUUGUUGUAAAUUCUUUUGGGUUGUUGUAAAUUCUUUCGGGUUGUCAUGAUUACGUAAAUAGUAAGGAUAGGAACAUUAUGAUUUGACUUUAGACUAAGAGAACCUCCAAACUUUUAUAAGCUUUUCGAGGUAGAAACAUUACGGUAAGUGCUAAGUACUCAUGUUUUUAGUGGUUUAUCUGGUUUUGUAACGAUCUUCAUGGAAUCAAGUUCACGAUGUUGUCCUUGAACGCAUAUAUUCAUAUUGGUAUCAAGCUUCUCCACCCGCGAGUGUAGAAAGAGGUGACAGCCGACAGUGGGGUCCCGUGGUGAGGUUGGGGAAACAAUACUCGUAUAUGGAUUUAUAACCAUGUCGGUUUAAAUGUCUUAUAUAUAACAUGUACUCCUCCCAAACACUCCUUCUCUCCUGGGCAGCUUCUUUUUUUUAUCUCCUAGGCACCUUCUCUCUUUUUCUCUCUUCCUCGCACUUGUCGGAAGUAAAAUCACUAUACGUCCAACAAAACACU